UUAAAUUGAAGAGUUUGAUCAUGGCUCAGAUUGAACGCUGGCGGCAGGCCUAACACAUGCAAGUCGAACGGUAACAGGAAGCAGCUUGCUGCUUUGCUGACGAGUGGCGGACGGGUGAGUAAUGUCUGGGAAACUGCCUGAUGGAGGGGGAUAACUACUGGAAACGGUAGCUAAUACCGCAUAACGUCGCAAGACCAAAGAGGGGGACCUUCGGGCCUCUUGCCAUCGGAUGUGCCAGAUGGGAUUAGCUAGUAGGUGGGGUAACGGCUCACCUAGGCGACGAUCCCUAGCUGGUCUGAGAGGAUGACCAGCCACACUGGAACUGAGACACGGUCCAGACUCCUACGGGAGGCAGCAGUGGGGAAUAUUGCACAAUGGGCGCAAGCCUGAUGCAGCCAUGCCGCGUGUAUGAAGAAGGCCUUCGGGUUGUAAAGUACUUUCAGCGGGGAGGAAGGGAGUAAAGUUAAUACCUUUGCUCAUUGACGUUACCCGCAGAAGAAGCACCGGCUAACUCCGUGCCAGCAGCCGCGGUAAUACGGAGGGUGCAAGCGUUAAUCGGAAUUACUGGGCGUAAAGCGCACGCAGGCGGUUUGUUAAGUCAGAUGUGAAAUCCCCGGGCUCAACCUGGGAACUGCAUCUGAUACUGGCAAGCUUGAGUCUCGUAGAGGGGGGUAGAAUUCCAGGUGUAGCGGUGAAAUGCGUAGAGAUCUGGAGGAAUACCGGUGGCGAAGGCGGCCCCCUGGACGAAGACUGACGCUCAGGUGCGAAAGCGUGGGGAGCAAACAGGAUUAGAUACCCUGGUAGUCCACGCCGUAAACGAUGUCGACUUGGAGGUUGUGCCCUUGAGGCGUGGCUUCCGGAGCUAACGCGUUAAGUCGACCGCCUGGGGAGUACGGCCGCAAGGUUAAAACUCAAAUGAAUUGACGGGGGCCCGCACAAGCGGUGGAGCAUGUGGUUUAAUUCGAUGCAACGCGAAGAACCUUACCUGGUCUUGACAUCCACAGAACCUGUAGAGAUACGGGGGUGCCUUCGGGAACUGUGAGACAGGUGCUGCAUGGCUGUCGUCAGCUCGUGUUGUGAAAUGUUGGGUUAAGUCCCGCAACGAGCGCAACCCUUAUCCUUUGUUGCCAGCGGUCCGGCCGGGAACUCAAAGGAGACUGCCAGUGAUAAACUGGAGGAAGGUGGGGAUGACGUCAAGUCAUCAUGGCCCUUACGACCAGGGCUACACACGUGCUACAAUGGCGCAUACAAAGAGAAGCGACCUCGCGAGAGCAAGCGGACCUCAUAAAGUGCGUCGUAGUCCGGAUUGGAGUCUGCAACUCGACUCCAUGAAGUCGGAAUCGCUAGUAAUCGUGGAUCAGAAUGCCACGGUGAAUACGUUCCCGGGCCUUGUACACACCGCCCGUCACACCAUGGGAGUGGGUUGCAAAAGAAGUAGGUAGCUUAACCUUCGGGAGGGCGCUUACCACUUUGUGAUUCAUGACUGGGGUGAAGUCGUAACAAGGUAACCGUAGGGGAACCUGCGGUUGGAUCACCUCCUUACCUUAAAGAAGC
rnacentral:rRNA from 1 species